rnacentral:rRNA from 1 species
GACGAACGCGGCGGCGUGCCUAAUACAUGCAAGUAGAACGCUGAAGGAGGAGCUUGCUUCUCUGGAUGAGUUGCGAGCGGGUGAGUAACGCGUAGGUAACCUGCCUGGUAGCGGGGGAUAACUAUUGGAAACGAUAGCUAAUACCGCAUAAGAGUAGAUGUUGCAUGACAUUUGCUUAAAAGGUGCAAUUGCAUCACUACCAGAUGGACCUGCGUUGUAUUAGCUAGUUGGUGGGGUAACGGCUCACCAAGGCGACGAUACAUAGCCGACCUGAGAGGGUGAUCGGCCACACUGGGACUGAGACACGGCCCAGACUCCUACGGGAGGCAGCAGUAGGGAAUCUUCGGCAAUGGACGGAAGUCUGACCGAGCAACGCCGCGUGAGUGAAGAAGGUUUUCGGAUCGUAAAGCUCUGUUGUAAGAGAAGAACGAGUGUGAGAGUGGAAAGUUUCACACUGUGACGGUAUCUACCCAGAAAGGACGG